GAUGAACGCUGGCGGCGUGCCUAAUACAUGCAAGUCGAGCGAACGGACGAGAAGCUUGCUUCUCUGAUGUUAGCGGCGGACGGGUGAGUAACACGUGGAUAACCUACCUAUAAGACUGGGAUAACUUCGGGAAACCGGAGCUAAUACCGGAUAAUAUUUUGAACCGCAUGGUUCAAAAGUGAAAGACGGUCUUGCUGUCACUUAUAGAUGGAUCCGCGCUGCAUUAGCUAGUUGGUAAGGUAACGGCUUACCAAGGCAACGAUGCAUAGCCGACCUGAGAGGGUGAUCGGCCACACUGGAACUGAGACACGGUCCAGACUCCUACGGGAGGCAGCAGUAGGGAAUCUUCCGCAAUGGGCGAAAGCCUGACGGAGCAACGCCGCGUGAGUGAUGAAGGUCUUCGGAUCGUAAAACUCUGUUAUUAGGGAAGAACAUAUGUGUAAGUAACUGUGCACAUCUUGACGGUACCUAAUCAGAAAGCCACGGCUAACUACGUGCCAGCAGCCGCGGUAAUACGUAGGUGGCAAGCGUUAUCCGGAAUUAUUGGGCGUAAAGCGCGCGUAGGCGGUUUUUUAAGUCUGAUGUGAAAGCCCACGGCUCAACCGUGGAGGGUCAUUGGAAACUGGAAAACUUGAGUGCAGAAGGGGAAAGUGGAAUUCCAUGUGUAGCGGUGAGAUGCGCAGAGAUAUGGAGGAACACCAGUGGCGAAGGCGACUUUCUGGUCUGUAACUGACGCUGAUGUGCGAAAGCGUGGGGAUCAAACAGGAUUAGAUACCCUGGUAGUCCACGCCGUAAACGAUGAGUGCUAAGUGUUAGGGGGUUUCCGCCCCUUAGUGCUGCAGCUAACGCAUUAAGCACUCCGCCUGGGGAGUACGACCGCAAGGUUGAAACUCAAAGGAAUUGACGGGGACCCGCACAAGCGGUGGAGCAUGUGGUUUAAUUCGAAGCAACGCGAAGAACCUUACCAAAUCUUGACAUCCUUUGACAACUCUAGAGAUAGAGCCUUCCCCUUCGGGGGACAAAGUGACAGGUGGUGCAUGGUUGUCGUCAGCUCGUGUCGUGAGAUGUUGGGUUAAGUCCCGCAACGAGCGCAACCCUUAAGCUUAGUUGCCAUCAUUAAGUUGGGCACUCUAAGUUGACUGCCGGUGACAAACCGGAGGAAGGUGGGGAUGACGUCAAAUCAUCAUGCCCCUUAUGAUUUGGGCUACACACGUGCUACAAUGGACAAUACAAAGGGCAGCGAAACCGCGAGGUCAAGCAAAUCCCAUAAAGUUGUUCUCAGUUCGGAUUGUAGUCUGCAACUCGACUACAUGAAGCUGGAAUCGCUAGUAAUCGUAGAUCAGCAUGCUACGGUGAAUACGUUCCCGGGUCU
rnacentral:rRNA from 1 species